UCACUACUGGUGUAUAUUACCGUAAAUAGGCAAGAUAAGUACACCUGCCUUUCAACUAAACUCAUACUCUUAGUUUAAUGUUUUAACAUAUGACAGAUCUUGUUUCGAAAUGAUCAGUGGAUGUAAGUUUCUUACCAGCCAACACCGCACCUGCCUCCAAACAUAUCCUGUGUUCUGUCUGAGGUCAAGAUUUCCUUACAAGUCUCAUUGGAACUGGGGAUACUAGUGGCUGGAUGUGACGACCCAAUGAUAUAAGGCCCCGCUAUAUUGUGUGCAGAGUUUGCCGGAACAGGCUCUACUGACCGUACUUCCAACCCGGAAAUGCUUCUGAGAAUGACCCUUGACCACAAACAGUAUAGGAAUAUCAAAAACACGCCAAUAAUGUUUAUACUUUUCAUAUAUGGACCGACCAAAGCAAGGGUCCUCUAGUGUAAUAUGUUACAACACUGGUAUGUUGUCAACGAAACUUCAGACAGUACAUGUCGAGUGACGCAGUUUAUCAGGUUUACAUAUGCUAAUUUCCAACUUACUUCUUACCAUCUUCAAAUCAUAAGGAUCAACGCCAUCAUCAUUUUAUAAGGGACCUGAAAUACAACUUUAGGUCAGAGAACAGACUAUUUUUGGACAUCCAUUUCUUCACUUGCAUGAAAGCAGCCUUCAUUAUAUUUGUAAAACCUUCACGAACAAGGAUUUUGUUUGGAAUUCAAAUUAGAUUUGACAAGACCUAAUCUAAGGUCACGUUAUCGAAAUCCUUAGAGGAGCAAGCUUCUCCUCGUGACUAAACAUCGUCUAUCGCUUCAUUCUCACCUCUCUGCAGCUGCAACCAGACCUUCAAAAAAUACACAGCUACUGCUCAACCCAGAUGAAAGAGACCCCACUACCGGAGAUUAAACCUAGUACAUCAUAGAUUGAGCUGCAAAAAAACCAUUUGCUGAAAGCUAAAUAAAACAUUCAGAGUUGUUCCAAGGAUAUGAGUGAAAAAACAUAGCUCUGAGUGAGUGAUUUAUCCCGAGCUACUUCUUAUGCCUCUUUACUCUUGGGGUCCUUUGAACCCGGCUAACCAUAUACACAAUUCAGUUUCAUAUGGCUAUCUGUACCGUUCCAUCUAGAGGGGAGCUUAACGUCUUUGGUAUGGCACUAUCCUUGCAAGAUGGAAACGGUUUUUGUUUGUUAUUCAAUCAGUAAGAUGUUUCUUCAUCUCACGGGAGCCACAAGUCCCGGUUUUAUCAUGCUAUUGAUUUUUCUAUCGACGGUUCCAUGGAGUGAGGAAAUGGCGAUGUCUUCAACUGGACUCGGCGCUAAUGCUGGCAAUCAGGAACGACUCUCCCCAGGGAGUUCAGAUGGGCUUUCUUUUAAUAUGGUAUUCGGUUAAUUCCAAUGUAUUGAGUGAAGUCACGUUUGUACAGUAUUUUGUUGGUGCACAUACGCGUUAUUAAUGUUUUAGCGUUUCAUAACUUCUCCCUCGAUAUUUUCUGGAAAUAGCAUACGGCUUUUAUCAUGUAUAUCGGCUCCAAGGCAACACGGCGAGGGACUUCGAUUGGUUAAAAGUCAUUUUAUUGAGCUUAUAGAUAGAUAUCUUUUGAUUUCAAUACCCUCCAGAUGAAGACGCUAGUAUACCUAUUAUAGGUAAACGAUUGAUAUCUAAUCAGCCAUUUCCAAACUUAACAUAAUACCACAUGCAUUAUAUUCCUUUUACAAAUCACAAUAGUAAAGGAUAUAUUAAAGGGACAUUCAGAGGAGGUGGUAACGA
rnacentral:lncRNA from 1 species